AACGAACGCUGGCGGCAGGCCUAACACAUGCAAGUCGAGCGCCCAGCAAUGGGAGCGGCAGACGGGUGAGUAACGCGUGGGGAUGUGCCCAAUGGUGCGGAAUAACCCAGGGAAACUUGGAUUAAUACCGCAUGUGCCCUUCGGGGGAAAGAUUUAUCGCCAUUGGAUCAACCCGCGUCUGAUUAGCUAGUUGGUGAGGUAAAGGCUCACCAAGGCGACGAUCAGUAGCUGGUCUGAGAGGAUGAUCAGCCACACUGGGACUGAGACACGGCCCAGACUCCUACGGGAGGCAGCAGUGGGGAAUAUUGGACAAUGGGCGCAAGCCUGAUCCAGCCAUGCCGCGUGAGCGAUGAAGGCCUUAGGGUUGUAAAGCUCUUUCGCCGGUGAAGAUAAUGGCGGUAACCGGAGAAGGAGCCCCGGCUAACUUCGUGCCAGCCGCCGCAGUAACAC
rnacentral:rRNA from 1 species